rnacentral:tRNA from 1 species
UCCCUGGUGGCUCAGUGGUAAAGAAUCUGCCUGCGAUGCAGGCGACCUGGGUUCAAUCCCUGGGUUGGGAA